GAUGAACGCUGGCGGCGUGCCUAAUACAUGCAAGUCGAGCGAAUGGAUUAAGAGCUUGCUCUUAUGAAGUUAGCGGCGGACGGGUGAGUAACACGUGGGUAACCUGCCCAUAAGACUGGGAUAACUCCGGGAAACCGGGGCUAAUACCGGAUAACAUUUUGAACCGCAUGGUUCGAAAUUGAAAGGCGGCUUCGGCUGUCACUUAUGGAUGGACCCGCGUCGCAUUAGCUAGUUGGUGAGGUAACGGCUCACCAAGGCAACGAUGCGUAGCCGACCUGAGAUGGUGAUCGGCCACACUGGGACUGCGACACGGCCCAGACUCCUACGGGAGGCAGCAGUAGGGAAUCUUCCGCAAUGGACGAAAGUCUGACGGAGCAACGCCGCGUGAGUGAUGAAGGCUUUCGGGUCGUAAAACUCUGUUGUUAGGGAAGAACAAGUGCUAGUUGAAUAAGCUGACACCUUGACGGUACCUAACCAGAAAGCCACGGCUAACUACGUGCCAGCCGCCGCAGUAA
rnacentral:rRNA from 1 species